rnacentral:rRNA from 1 species
UACAGAGGUCUCAAGCGUUGUUCGGAUUCACUGGGCUUAAAGGGCGCGUAGGCGGCUUGCCAAGUCAGGGGUGAAAUCUUUCGGCUCAACCGGAAAAGUGCUUCUGAUACUGGCAGGCUGGAGGGAGGUAGGGGCAGAUGGAACUUCCGGUGGAGCGGUGAAAUGCGUUGAUAUCCAACGGAACUCCGGUGGCGAAGGCGAGGUGCUGGACCCUUUCUGACGCUGAGGCGCGAAAGCCAGGGGAGCGAACGGG